UGUAAGUGUGGUGCCCAUGCCUGUAAUGCC
rnacentral:piRNA from 1 species